CCUACGGGUGGCAGCAGUGGGGAAUAUUGCACAAUGGGGGAAACCCUGAUGCAGCGACGCCGCGUGAGUGAAGAAGUACUUCGUUAUGUAAAGCUCUAUCAGCAGGGAAGAAAAGUACGGUACCUGAGUAAGACGCCCCGGCUAACUACGUGCAAGCAGCCGCGGUCAAACGGAGGGGGCAACCGUUAGCCGGAUUUACUGGGGGUCAAGGGAGCGGUGACGGCAGGGCAAGUCUGGAGUGAAAGGCGGGGGCUCAACCCCAGGACUGCUCUUGAAACUGUACGUCUGGAGUGCAGGAGAGGAAAGUGGAAUUCCUAGUGUAGCGGUGAAAUGCGUAGAUAUUAGGAGGAACACCAGUGGCGAAGGCGGCUUACUGGACUGUAACUGACGUUGAGGCUCGAAAGCGUGGGGAGCAAACAGGAUUAGAUACCCGAGUAGUC
rnacentral:rRNA from 1 species